rnacentral:rRNA from 1 species
AUUGAACGCUGGCGGCAGGCCUAACACAUGCAAGUCGAACGAGUGGCGGACGGGUGAGUAAUGUCUGGGAAACUGCCUGAUGGAGGGGGAUAACUACUGGAAACGGUAGCUAAUACCGCAUACCAUCAGAUGUGCCCAGAUGGGAUUAGCUCGUUGGUGGGGUAACGGCUCACCAGGGCGACGAUCCCUAGCUGGUCUGAGCGGAUGACCGGCCACGCUGUAAUGGAGACACGGUCCAUACGCCUACGAGAGGCAGCAGUGGGGAAUAUUGCACAAUGGGCGCAAGCCUGAUGCAGCCAUGCCGCGUGUAGGAAGAAGGCCUUCGGGUUGUAAAGUACUUUCAGCGGGGAGGCGUUACCCGCAGAAGAAGCACCGGCUAACUCCGUGCCAGCAGCCGCGGUAAUAC